CCACCACCUCUCUGGGAAACCUGUGCCAGUGCCUCACCACCCUUAGUGCAAAAAAACUUCUUCCUUAUAUCCAGCUUAAAUCUCCAUUUUUUUCAGUUUGAAACCACUUCCCCUUGUCCUGUCACACCAGGCCCUACUUAAAGAGCCUGUCCCUUUCUUUCUUACAGCCCCCCUCGCCCUGCUGGCCACACUGCUUUCGAUGCAGCCCGGGAUACGAUUGGCUUUCUGGGCUUCAUGUCCAGCUUGCCAUCCAUCAGUACACCUCAGGAGAGAUUUUUGUCUGCAUGGCCCUCUCAGGGUACAUACACGUGACACAUCAGCCCUCUGGCUUUCUGUCCAAGCCCCAAGUUCGACUCUGCUGAUCUUGGCAGCAGUCCACUACAUCAUGUUUAGCCAACGCGCUGCAUCAUGACGGUUGGACUAGAUGAUCUUUGUGGUCUUUUCCAAUCUGUGUGAUUCUAUGUCAAUCUUGCAUGAUUUUCUGUUGGUUUUUUUUUUUUAAUGUGCAUGUAGGAUAUGUGCUAAGUAACAAAAAUCUUCCAAUACCAGUGUCUAUGUGUAUGUUUGCAAUAAAAACAGCAAAAAAAAGUGAAUGGAGUAUAAGUACUUGUAGAAAGUACCCAUCAUCUUUUAGGGAGUAAUACACUUAAUGUGUAUUCUGUAUCCAUCAACAAGCAGUACAGGUUCCUAAGGUGGAAGACACAGAAGCUGGAAAAGUGAUGUUUUGUUUUUCAGGGAAUUGUUUGCAAAGUCAUGGUCAGGAGAAGGCAAGUUUGUGCAAAAACUGCUGACUGCAAAGAAAGUUUGUGAACUAGACAGAUGCCUUGCACUGUGAAUUCCGGAAAAAGGAAAACAUAAUGCACAAAUACGAAGCAAAGACAUUAUAGAAAGGAAAUGAGAGUAAUUCAAUGCAAAAUUCAUGUGGAGGGUUGUGAAGAAGUUAGGUUGUUGCCUGAAUAGAAAAGAAUAUGAUAAAAUGACAGUCUAGCCUAAGAGAGGGAGGCCAGAUAAUUCUCUCAAAAAUGUGCUAUCUCAAAAGAACAAAGUUCCGUUCACCUCCUAAUCAAGCAGGAUUUUACAGGAAUGUGAUGCUCUUGAGACACAGAAUUUAUUCAGCUUUAUAAAGAAGUUGGAUGUGGAUAUUUACAAGCAAUACUGAGAAUUCUUAGAUGCUCCCAAAAGAAUCUGGAGAAGCAGGAAAUCCAUGUGGUAGGAGCCAGGCUUCCCGUAAAAUUCAAAUCUCAGAUGGGGACCUGAGAAAUGAGCUGUCCCAUCUCUGUCUUUAGAUUCACUGUUCUUCACAGAAUAACAGAACUGUAGGUAUUGGAAGGGAGUUCUGGAGAUCAUCUAGCCCAACUCCCUGCUAAGGCAGGUUCCUUAGAGUUCCUGUACUUGGAACAGUAUCCUCUUUGAGCACAAGUAGUCCCGUGCUUGCAGUCCAUUUGGUUUGUUUGUUUGUUUUUUUAAUAUAUUUUGAUACAGUUAGAAUCAUUGAGAAACGAGACCGAAGAGGUCCUCAGGUGACUUAUUAAAAAUCUGCAAUAACCUAAAAGAAAUCCGUUAAAGAAGUGAACGUAGAGAUGCACGUGAUGGAUAACUGCGAUAUUCCAGCUGUGUAAGUUUCAAAGAAUUGGAAAUGUUCAGUGUAAAACUGUGAAUUCCAUUUAAAAUAUAUCUUCUUAUUUAUAGCAUCACCUAUACUGAUGAUUCUCAGCUCUUAGAAGCCACUGAAAAUGAUGACGUCCACUGGACUGGUAGCUAAUAACUCUCCUCUUCCACAUUUGUCUCCAUUUUUUUUUUUCCAUUUCACCAUAUAUUUCUGCACUCCACUCUCUGCCAAGGACAUGUAUCUAAAAAAAUUCAAUGGUUAAUGUUAUGAUGGACAGCAGUGCAGUUUUUACUGUAAGAGUUAAUGUGUCUGUCGAUGAAACUGUGAAUGCCCAACCUGAAUCUUUUACUGUGAGCACUCCUGCUGCCUCGUUGUGAGUGGUUCCAUUUUCAUUGCUAUCUUCCUUGUGUGAAUCGAGGUCAAUCAGAGGUGAAGGACAGAAAAACAGACUUAUGUUUGGGCAAUUCAGUCUGCAGAUGAAGUGGCUGAGACCUUUCAGAGCCCUUAUGUGCUCUGAAAAGCCAGCAUCUCCUCUACUCAGUGUUCCCAGUGAUCUUCCAUGCUUUAUAUGCUGCCAGCAUGUAUUUAAAUGAUGUCUCUUAAAUCAGAGGUGUUCUUUGUUACAUCUUACAGGAAAAACUGCUUUGUCACCCAUUGCAUUCAACUGCUUCAUUUGUGAAGCUGACAGCAGCAGAGCAGGGCGCUAAAGGAUUGACACUGGGACUCCAAAACAGUGGUUAGAGCAGUGACAGAUAGCGGGGCUGCUGAAGCAUUUCGAUUACAGCUAUUAAGGGCAGGAAACAGUCUUUCAUUCUGUGUUUGUAUGGCACUUCACACACUGUGUUCCUGCGUCGUAGCUGGAUCCUAAGUAUUAAAUAGUAAUAAGCCAUGAUGCCACUUAACAAAUAAAAACUGCUGGUUUACAGAAGUGCUUAGUGCUUCUUCACUCCGUGGAAACAGAAUACUUUUCUAAUUCAUUAAAUCUCACUUAUAUUUCAGGAAAGUGUGAACUGUCUAUCCCCUUUUCUCGUUCUAGGGCCUGAGAUCUGAGUGGAAGAGUCUAAAAAUUACACCCUAGAUUAUAAAGUUUUACCAAGAAUUUGCCUGUCCAAGCAAGCAGCAGAACCUGAUUAUCUUUGUGUUUAUAAUAUACUGUGCUUCACGUUGAAACAUGGACUUCAUAUCUGCCAACACAUAAACUGAAUUAAGAAGUAUAUCAGAAAAAAAAAAAUCACAUUAAGGUGUCUGUCUGUUGCUGGGAUUCCCA